CUGAUAUGAAUAGCUUGCUCGGAUUUGAAGAUGAACAUUGCAAAGAGUGGCGAACGGGUGAGUAACACGUGGUAAACCUACCUCUUAGCGGGGGAUAACACUUGGAAACAAGUGCUAAUACCGCAUAAUACUGAUAACCGCAUGGUUAUCAGUUGAAAGAUGGUUCUGCUAUCACUAAGAGAUGGUCCCGCGGUGUAUUAGCUAGUUGGUAAGGUAAUGGCUUACCAAGGCAAUGAUACAUAGCCGAGUUGAGAGACUGAUCGGCCACAAUGGGACUGAGACACGGCCCAUACUCCUACGGGAGGCAGCACUAGGGAAUCUUCCACAAUGGACGAAAGUCUGAUGGAGCAACGCCGCGUGUGUGAUGAAGGGUUUCGGCUCGUAAAACACUGUUGUAAUAGAAUAAUGACAUUGAGAGUAACUGUUCAGUGUGUGACGGUAUCUUACCAGAAAGGAACGGCUAAAUACGUGCCACCAGCCGCGGGAAUACGUAUGUUCCAAGCGUUAUCCGGAUUUAUUGGGCGUAAAUCGAGCGCAGACGGCUGUUUAAGUCUGAAGUGAAAGCCCACAGCUUAACUGUGGAAGUGCUUUGGAAACUGGAUAGCCUUGAGUGCAGUAGAGGAGAGUGGAACUCCAUGG
rnacentral:rRNA from 1 species